rnacentral:rRNA from 1 species
AUGAACGCUAGCUACAGGCUUAACACAUGCAAGUCGAGGGGUAACGUGAGGAAAGCUUGCUUUCCUUGACGACGACCGGCGCACGGGUGAGUAACGCGUAUCCAACCUGCCCAUAACUAAGGGAUAACCGGUAGAAAUGCCGCCUAAUACCUUAUGUGGUCUCUCGAGGACAUCUGAGUGAGACUAAAGAUUCAUCGGUUAUGGAUGGGGAUGCGUCUGAUUAGCUUGUUGGCGGGGUAACGGCCCACCAAGGCUACGAUCAGUAGGGGUUCUGAGAGGAAGGUCCCCCACAUUGGAACUGAGACACGGUCCAGACUCCUACGGGAGGCAGCAGUGGGGAAUAUUGCACAAUGGGCGAAAGCCUGAUGCAGCAACGCCGCGUGAAGGAAGAAGGCCUUCGGGUCGUAAACUUCUGUCCUUGGGGAAGAAUACUGACGGUACCCUUGGAGGAAGCCCCGGCUAACUACGUGCCAGCAGCCGCGGUAAUACGUAGGGGGCAAGCGUUAUCCGGAAUUACUGGGCGUAAAGAGUACGUAGGUGGCCCUGUAAGCGUAGGGUUUAAGGCGACGGCCCAACUGUCGUUCGCCCUAUGAACUGCAGAGCUUGAGUGCUGGAGGGGAAGGCGGAAUUCCUAGUGUAGCGGUGAAAUGCGUAGAUAUUAGGAGGAACACCAGUGGCGAAGGCGGCCUUCUGGACAGUAACUGACACUGAGGUACGAAAGCGUGGGUAGCAAACAGGAUUAGAUACCCUGGUAGUCCACGCCGUAAACGAUGAGCACUAGGUGUCGGGCUCGCAAGAGUUCGGUGCCGGAGCAAACGCAUUAAGUGCUCCGCCUGGGGAGUACGCACGCAAGUGUGAAACUCAAAGGAAUUGACGGGGACCCGCACAAGCAGCGGAGCAUGUGGUUUAAUUCGAAGCAACGCGAAGAACCUUACCAGGGCUUGACAUCCUUCUGAAAGAUUGGGUAAUGCCGAUCCCCUCUUCGGAGCAGAAGUGACAGGUGGUGCAUGGUUGUCGUCAGCUCGUGUCGUGAGAUGUUGGGUUAAGUCCCGCAACGAGCGCAACCCUUGCCGUUAGUUGCCAUCAUUCAGUUGGGCACUCUAAUGGGACUGCCGGGGACAACCCGGAGGAAGGCGGGGAUGACGUCAAAUCAUCAUGCCCCUUAUGUCCUGGGCGACACACGUGCUACAAUGGCCGUCACAGAGGGAAGCGAAACCGCGAUCUGGAGCAAAACCCCAAAGGCGGCCCCAGUUCGGACUGUAGGCUGAAACCCGCCUGCACGAAGCCGGAGUUGCUAGUAAUCGCGGAUCAGAAUGCCGCGUGAUAUCAUCCCGGUGUUGACACACCG